UUCUUGAAUCUUAGUCUCUAGUUUCUCUGGAAUAAGCUGCUUUGUAUUCAUGGCUUUUGGCUGUUAGUCCUAGAAAAUGCUCUUGGGGAGUGUGGUACUGCACUACCUCCUGAGGUAGCACCUUGCUCCUUGACAUGUAUCAUCACUUAUACUUGCAUAAGCAACAUGAAAUCUUGCAGCCUGCUUAUUCGUCAUUCACAUGAGUACAUCAGAGUCAUUUAGGACUUUAAAUCCUUGCCUUGUCUUGAAAAAGAGUAAGCAAACACCAGUUAAUGUCACUGCUGCACAAUGUUAUGAAUUGCCUGAGCAGAUGUUAGUGAAGUGACUGUUGCAUUUUAUUUCAUAUGCAGGAUGUUCAGGUUGAUCCAUCUCUGAACAGUUUCUCUCUCCUCAAUGGCCAGUUUGAAAAAGAUGAUGAUCUGUUCCACAAUAGCUGGGAUUUCUUUUCAUUCUGCAUGCUUAAGAGAAGUAUCUAAAAAAUAGCAGGAGGAGCAGAAUUAAAAAGAAGAAAGUCUUACCACUAAAAUCAAGAAACAUAUUCAUUACUGUUACCAUGGACCAAACCUCCAAACUGGUAUUCAAAAACUGAAUUGUAAAAAUAGCUGAAAUCAGCUCUGGCAGUAUGUCACAUUUCCUUUUGUGAGCUGAAGCAGUAGCUCAGGUGAGCAUCACCUGCAUUCUUGUUUCCAGUUUCAGUCCUAAGUUUUAGCUUACAGAGAAUUGUAUGAUGCAAAGAGUUGCAGCUUAUUUUGAAAAAAAACCAGUAAGGAUCUUUCCAAGUCUACCUCAGUAAUUUGGGAUAUUUGGUGGCAUGUGAAAUAAGUGACCUUAUUUCACUUACCUUCAGCUUUAUAGAGAGGCAGGAGGAUGGUGUAACACCUGCUCAUGCUCACUGCAGUUCUGUAAACAGUGUGUGUGUGAGUUAAUUAACUAUUUGCAUAUUAAUAUUACUACCUAGCAAUCUCAAAUUAUUCACCACGUUAAUGAAGAGCCUUUCCUGAGUUUGUGAAUUCUGUUUUAUUCAUGUUUGCUGCUUUUGUAUCUGCUGAAUGCCACCUUCCUCUUUUCCAUGGGGUAGGAUUGCAGGAUCUGUGUUCUUUGUUUUAAUAACUUUCUCCUCUUUGAAAUGCCAUUAUUUCUGGUCUGUUUUUAGAUGGUGAAGGAUAGACCCUGUGAUGGGCACUAAAGCAUGGACUUUAAGUGUGCAGUCUGGUGGCAGGUACUCCUUUCUGGUCCCAGUGGUCUGACAUGUCUGAUGAAGGCUUAGGUGCUGUGUGUCCCCAAUUAUUAAUUUCAGUGUUGAUUGAAAUGUUUGUCUUCAUUUGUAGCAUAUCCAGCAGCUGUGUUGCAACACAGAAGGAAAUGUGAAACGUCCCAGGAAUUGGCUGGCUGCCUGAAGAACCCCAUCACCUGCCUUUCAUGGCAAGUGACCUGAGCAUGGAUGUGCCCAUGGUAGCAGUUCAGGUGGGUGUGUUACCUGUAUUUGCAGAAUUUUCUUGUUCUCUGCAUUGUACUGGAAACUGCACGUGUCUUGUACAAUCUGUUUGACCCUCUUGUAAUGACUGGUUUUCCUAAUAAACAUCUUUUGAAGUC